rnacentral:lncRNA from 1 species
CUGUGGCAGGAGAUUUUUCCUCAGAUCAGCUGCUGCAGAAAGGGCCCAGAGCCCAGAGGAGCUCCCCCAGAGAGAGCCAGGCCUUGCCCCUCAUCCCUAACCCAGUGGUGUGUCUGGAAGCAGGGGACACGAUCCUCUUCCAGCUCAGCAUCAAUUCCCAGGAGCGUGCCUCCAGCCAUUACCCCGUGUACCAGAAGCAGCAUCUCUACAACAACAACCCCGGCUGGGAUUUCGGACCCUUCCGAAGGCUGGACCACCUGAUCCAGGAGACCCAGCUCAACAUCUCCUGGUUUGCCCAUGUGUUCCUGGAGCCUGGCACAUUUGUUUUCAGGGACAGCUCCGUUCAGGAACGCUUCCUGAUUGUGACAGUGAAGGAGGCCAGCGUGAGCUGCGACCCCAGGGACGCCUCCUUCCAGCCCUCCUCCCUGUUCCAGCUGGCCAGACACGGCAUUUUGAAGCAGCAGCAUCAUCUGAACCUGGCUCCCAACUGGGCUGCUAUCACAGCAAUCCUUUUCAUCCUGGGCUUCCUCGUGCUGGUGCUCACCACCCUGGCCAUCGUGUUCCAGCCUGCUGGCCCCAAAAUCAGCCCCCUGCAGGGCUGGAAGCCACGCUGGAGGAGCCUGGGGGAGCCACACAUCCCACCAGAGUACAUCCUCCUUAAGGACAGCGUAGAGUUCUAUGAGAUGCUUGGUCCUCGUGGAUCUGGACAAGAUGCUGGCUCUGGAGAGAAAGGAGCAGUGCCCGGUGCAGAGCACAGCUUCACCCCCAGGCUCCUGGAGGAUUUCAGUGUCCGGACCCUCUAUGACAAGCUGGAGGAUCAGAAUUUGCACUUGGCCUCUCAGCUGUCAAAGCACAGGAUGGACGUGCUGGUGUUCCACAGGGGGAUCAGCCAGAGGAUCCAGAGCCUCAUGGUCAGUGGGGAGAGGCAUUCGAGGGAAGGGAGCCUUGGAACCAUGAAAAUCUUAAGAUAAAUUGUUGCCUGAAG